GACGAACGCUGGCGGCGUGCUUAACACAUGCAAGUCGAACGGUAAGGCCCUUCGGGGUACACGAGUGGCGAACGGGUGAGUAACACGUGGGUGAUCUGCCCUGCACAUCGGGAUAAGCCUGGGAAACUGGGUCUAAUACCGGAUAGGACCACUGCCUGCAUGGGUGGUGGUGGAAAGCUUUUGCGGUGUGGGAUGGGCCCGCGACCUAUCAGCCUGUUGGUGGGGUGAUGGCCUACCAAGGCGGCGACGGGUAGCGGGCCUGAGAGGGUGACCGGCCACACUGGGACUGAGAUACGGCCCAGACUCAUACGGGAGUAAGCAGUGGGGAAUAUUGCACAAUGGGCGCAAGCCUGAUGCAGCGACGCCGCGUGAGGGAUGACGGCCUUCGGGUUGUAAACCUCUUUCAGCACCGACGAAGCGCAAGUGACGGUAGGUGCAGAAGAAGGACCGGCCAACUACGUGCCAGCAGCCGCCGUAA
rnacentral:rRNA from 1 species